rnacentral:rRNA from 1 species
UACAGAGGUCUCAAGCGUUGUUCGGAUUCAUUGGGCGUAAAGGGUGCGUAGGCGGCGCGGUAAGUCGGGUGUGAAAUCUUGGAGCUUAACUCCGAAACUGCAUUCGAUACUGCCGUGCUUGAGGACUGGAGAGGAGACUGGAAUUUACGGUGUAGCGGUGAAAUGCGUAGAUAUCGGAAGGAACAUCAGUGGCGAAGGCGACUUUCUGGACAGAGACUGACACUGAGGCACGAAAGCAUGGGGAGCAAACAGG